rfam:Escherichia coli IAI39 chromosome, complete genome.
UGAAUGAUAAAAAUGGCGCAAAUACAGCGCCAUUUUUAUUGGUUAAAAACAUUGUUUUUAACUUUCUGAUGCAGAUAGCCAGUGAGUACAUCGCGCUACUUCAGGAUGCUGUAGAUCCGGAGAACACUAUAGAGGAAGAGGCAUUGUUGCUGGCAGAUGGAAGAAGUUUCGGGUUUUGUUAUCCCUGAAAAACGAAGCCCC